GCCUUUAGAUGAUUCAUACACCAUGCUUGAAAACAUACAACAGUGGACACACAACCAUCCAAAAUGAUUGGAUGGUGCGCACAGACAUGCUUCAAUGUUAUUAAUUCAGCCAUUCAAUUAAUUGCACAUUUAAAGAUAGGAAAAACUUCAAGCAACUACAAGGAAUUUUUUUACAUGCACAAGUGAAAGCUUUUCUCUCUAGCUAAAGAUCAACAUGGAAAAGAUAAACUCUUUGAUACUUGCCAUCACUUUGUUUAUUUUAAGCCUUAGGAAAUCACCGAGUUCUUUCAUCUGGGAUGAAGAAAUCAAAUCGGACAUCAACAGAACCAGAAGUUUCUCCAGUA
rnacentral:misc_RNA from 1 species